UCAGAUCCACACUCUCCUCGUUUUAGUCCUCCGCUACGAGCUCUCCAACCUCCACUGCACCAUCAAGCUCCUCCAGCACUGCAUCCAUGCCCUCCGCCUCUCUAACAAGCUCGGCGACCACAUGGCCACCCUCGACCCCGAAAAACUCGAUUUUGCCAAGGCUGCUCAGCUCCACUUCGGGAUUCUCAGUCUUUGCGACAAAGACUAAAAAAAAAUCAAACAAUCCAACCAACACGGUGUGCCUCUACACCAUCAUUGCUUUUGGUGUCGUUUGGAGGAGGAGGAUUUUCAGAUCUGAAUCGCAAGGGAGCAGAUCUCUAGUGUCCGAAGUCAUCGGCCUUGUUCAUGAAGAGGCACAAACCGCACUUCCCUUGCUAGUCGAUUUCGUCGAUGAUCGUGUGAGUGUCAUGAAGGUAAGGAUGGAGGAUUUGGUGCUUUUAUGAUCUUGAGAACAAAGGUUUCAGUCUGGUUAAACCAUAAGAGUGUCACUGUGGUGCUGGAUAUGUAGACCAUUUUGGGUGGAAGUGGGUAUGGUCCUAGAAUGUUCCCAUGCCCCUCAACAUCAACUCCCUCGUCAACAAGUGUGACUCUUUCCCCGUCCUCCGCCGUUGCGUCUUUGACUCCUACACCCCUCUGGUGCCAACACUGGAGCCGGAGCAAUCCCUGCCAUCAGAGAGAGGCUUUUGGGUUCCUCCCUUACUGCCGAGAUUCCGACGAAGCAUGUUAGAUCUCUUUGUUCCUUCACCAGAUAAGACUUUGUCCUGUUUGAGCUCUAAAGAAACCGUCGCACCUGAUUCCGUGGCUGAAAAGGAUGAAGUUGCUGAAAAAACAACACAGACAAGCUCUUCUUCUUGAUAAUUUCUUGGGUGUUGAUGGGCUUGCCCCUGGGCAUUCACUUCAUGAUAGAAAACCUGUUACCUACGCUUUAGGUAAGAAGUUUUAUCAUAGUUUGUAUUUUGUUUUCAUAGCAGGAGUUGGCCUCUUCAUUUUCCUCAUUUUUUUUUGUCUUUUUUGCAUGGACUACAGGAGUAUAUUAGACAGUUCACUUUUUUUGCAGUUGAUUGUUGUGGGUAUGUUAGGGCCCUAGGUACCUUCUGGGGCAAGUAGCAUGUAUAACCAAUAUCUAUUUCAUUCUUUGGAAAUGUUUGGUUUUAGCAUAACUAAAAAGUUUUCCCCAUGGACCUGGGGGGCUUCUGAUUGAGAAGUACAAGGAUAAUUUAGUGGGACUUUUUGAUAGUUGACUUUGGGUUUUUGGAUCAUUCAUUGAGUUGUUGGAUCUAAUAAAUGUUUCAUUGGAUUUUGCAUAGAUACCAUGCGCCCCCCAUACAACCAUAUUUGUAAUUGUACUGUCCUAUACAUUGAUAGUGAUGAACAGUGGUAACAAAAUCUGGACAUGGGUAAGUUGUUGUUUUGGAUUGUUUGAUUUUUUUAGGGUUGCUGAUCUGAGAUGAGGAUGAGGAGUAUAACAGAAGAUGGGUUGUUGACAGGAGCAAAAUCUGAGUUGUGGUGGUGGCUCGUGGUGGUUUGACAAAGGUCGAGUAGGGUUCAUGUUCGUUGUGGAUGGUAUUAGUUGUAGUUUCGUAUUCAUCGAUUGGGUCUGAUGGUGUUGUUCAUUGCCUUUGUGAGAAGUUGGUUGUUCAACUACAAUCGCGAACCAACAAGCAUCUAAACAAGUUAUUUUGGUGAUGUGCUGAGUGGAAUGAAGUUAAGAACUAUAGAUUUUGGGUUUGGGAUGAUGAUUAAUUUGAAGAAAUGAUUGAACCAAGACUCUGAAAAUAAUGGUGGCGCGGGAAGUAAUGUGGGUUGUAGAAGUAAUGUGGAUUUGAAUCAUUUGUUGUCACACAAAUGAAGAAGCUAAAGCUGAAGGUUGCAACAAAUGAAGAAUUUGUUUGUAUGAGGAACAAAUCAUGGAGUUGAAGAAGAUGUUGGCUAUAGAAGAACAUCAAACUCAGACAAAUUCUGAAGUUGUUGCUGAACUGAGGAAAAAAAUUGCAAAAUAACAUACCAAGAUUAACACUGAACGAAAGAUGAUCAAGGUUUUAGGAUGCAUUGUAGUGUUCCUUUGGGAUUUAUUGAGUGUUGUUACCAUUGCAUUUGCAAUGCAGUAGUGUUCUAGUAGGUAUGAUAAUGUGGUCUAUAGUGAAGCAUCAACAAUUGUGAUGACAUGCUGUUUUAAAUCCUUAUGAACCUUUUUGUUUUUAGGUCCC